AGGGCGAGAGAGAAAUCAAUGUCAAAGAAACAUCAAAUUGACAGUCUUAAGUUUAAAUGGCAGGAACUCAACAACCAUUCAUAUGAAUUGAAUACAACCAUGUUAAAUUCAAUGACAUAGCAUAAAGCAAAACAAAAGCAGUAAGAGCAUAGUCAAAUUGCAAGCAACAUUAAUCUUUCUAUACACACUGGCUGUUUUUUUGUUCAUUGCAUCCGGUCGAUAAAAGCAGGCUGGUCGAGAAGAGAAGUGUAAUAUAAUAAAUCAGGAAGGUAAACUAUUCACUGAUACUGGAGUCGCAUUAAACAAGCUCCACCGCAAAGAAAGAAUAACAAUUGAAUAAUUAAAUCAGGAAGAUGCUUGUUAUAACUCGAAAUGCUUAGUAGGUAUAUUAGGACCAGUGAUAGAGCACCAAGUUUGGUUGACAUGCUACAAAUAAAUAAGAAAGAGCAUAGGAAAGAUUUUGAGAUCCUGGUGUUGUGUCAGAAUGCCAAAAGAUAUUCUGAAACCAAAUUAGCCACAGCAAUAUAAGCAUGAAAAUGAAAUGAGCCAGAGCAAUUUAAGCAUCAUGGGU
rnacentral:lncRNA from 1 species